CCUACGGGAGGCAGCAGUGAGGAAUAUUGGACAAUGGGCGCGAGCCUGAACCAGCCAAGUCGCGUGAGGGAAGACGGUCCUAUGGAUUGUAAACCUCUUUUGUCGGGGAGCAAAAGACGCCACGCGUGGCGUUCCGAGAGUACCAGAAGAAAAAGCAUCGGCUAACUCCGUGCCAGCAGCCGCGGUAAUACGGAGGAUGCGAGCGUUAUCGGGAUUUAGUGGGUUAAAAGGGUGCGCAGGGGGAAGAUCAAGUCAGCGGUAAAAUUGAGGGGCUCAACCUCUUCGAGCCGUUGAAACUGGGUGUCUUGAGUGUGCGAGAGGUAUGCGGAAUGCGUGGUGUAGCGGUGAAAUGCAUAGAUAUCACGCAGAACUCCGAUUGCGAAGGCAGCAUACCGGCGCUCAACUGACGCUCAUGCACGAAAGUGUGGGUAUCGAACAGGAUUAGAUACCCCGGUAGUC
rnacentral:rRNA from 1 species